UUAAGUGACUAAGCGUAUACGGUGGAUGCCUAGGCAAUCAGAGGCGAUGAAGGACGUGUUAAUCUGCGAUAAGCUGUGACGAGCCGAUAAAAGGCUUUGACUCACAGAUUUCCGAAUGGGGAAACCCACUGGCAUAAGUCAGUAUCUUGCAAUGAAUACAUAGUUGUAAGAGGCGAACCCGGGGAACUGAAACAUCUAAGUACCCGGAGGAAAAGAAAUCAACCGAGAUUCCCCUAGUAGCGGCGAGCGAACGGGGAUUAGCCCUUAAGUACUUUGGAAGUUAGUGGAACAAGUUGGAAAGCUUGGCGAUACAGGGUGAUAGCCCCGUACAUGAAAACGACCUUAGUGUGAAAUCGAGUAGGACGGGACACGUGAUAUCUUGUCUGAACAUGGGGGGACCAUCCUCCAAGGCUAAAUACUCCUGAUUGACCGAUAGUGAACCAGUACCGUGAGGGAAAGGCGAAAAGAACCCCUGUGAGGGGAGUGAAAUAGAACCUGAAACCGUAUACGUACAAGCAGUGGGAGCGGUACUUGAUACCGUGACUGCGUACCUUUUGUAUAAUGGGUCAGCGACUUACGUUUUGUAGCAAGGUUAACCGAUAGGGGAGCCGUAGAGAAAUCGAGUCUUAACUGGGCGAAUAGUUGCAAGGCGUAGACCCGAAACCCGGUGAUCUAUCCAUGGGCAGGUUGAAGGUGCCGUAACAGGUACUGGAGGACCGAACCGACUAAUGUUGAAAAAUUAGCGGAUGACUUGUGGAUAGGGGUGAAAGGCCAAUCAAACCGGGAGAUAGCUGGUUCUCCUCGAAAGCUAUUUAGGUAGCGCCUCGCGUCUCACCAUUGGGGGUAGAGCACUGUUAAGGCUAGGGGGUCAUCCCGACUUACCAACCCUUUGCAAACUCCGAAUACCAAUGAGUGCAAUCGCGGGAGACACACGGCGGGUGCUAACGUCCGUCGUGGAAAGGGAAACAACCCAGACCGUCAGCUAAGGUCCCAAAGUGUAUGUUAAGUGGGAAACGAUGUGGGAAGGCUUAGACAGCUAGGAUGUUGGCUUAGAAGCAGCCAUCAUUUAAAGAAAGCGUAAUAGCUCACUAGUCGAGUCGGCCUGCGCGGAAGAUUUAACGGGGCUAAACAUACCACCGAAGCUACGGAUGCAUAGCUUGCUAUGCAUGGUAGAGGAGCGUUCUGUAAGCCGUUGAAGGCGAAGGGGUAACCCACGCUGGAGGUAUCAGAAGUGCGAAUGCUGACAUGAGUAACGAUAAAGGGGGUGAAAAACCCCCUCGCCGAAAAACCAAGGUUUCCUGUCCAAUGUUAAUCAGGGCAGGGUGAGUCGGCCCCUAAGUCGAGGCUGAAAAGCGUAGACGAUGGGAAACGGGUUAAUAUUCCCGUACUUCUUGUAACUGCGACGGAGUGACGGAGCAGGCUAGGUCAUCAGGGCGUUGGUUGUCCCUGUUUAAGGCUGUAGGUUGGUGGUUUAGGCAAAUCCGGACCGCUAAGACUGAGAGCUGAUGACGAGUGUCUACGGACACGAAGUGAUUGAUGCCAUACUUCCAGGAAAAACUUCUAAGCUUCAGGUUACAAGGAACCGUACCCCAAACCGACACAGGUGGUUGGGUAGAGAAUACCAAGGCGCUUGAGAGAACUCGGCUGAAGGAACUAGGCAAAAUGGUACCGUAACUUCGGGAGAAGGUACGCCGCUGCUGGUGAUGGAACUUGCUUCCUAAGCUGGCGGUGGUCGCAGAUACCAGGUGGCUGCAACUGUUUAUCAAAAACACAGCACUGUGCAAAUUCGUAAGAAGACGUAUACGGUGUGACGCCUGCCCGGUGCCGGAAGGUUAAUUGAUUGGGUUAGACUUUGUCGAAGCUCAUGAUCGAAGCCCCGGUAAACGGCGGCCGUAACUAUAACGGUCCUAAGGUAGCGAAAUUCCUUGUCGGGUAAGUUCCGACCUGCACGAAUGGCGUAAUGAUGGCCACGCUGUCUCCAGCCGAGACUCAGUGAAGUUGAAAUUGCGGUGAAGAUGCCGUAUACCCGCGGCUAGACGGAAAGACCCCGUGAACCUUUACUACAGCUUGACACUGAACAUUGCUCCUACAUGUGUAGGAUAGGUGGGAGGCUUUGAAGCGAUUACGCCAGUAGUCGUGGAGCCAACCUUGAAAUACCACCCUUGUAUGCGUGAUGUUCUAACUUAGGCCCCUAAUCGGGGUUGAGGACAGUGUCUGGUGGGUAGUUUGACUGGGGCGGUCUCCUCCCAAAGAGUAACGGAGGAGCACGAAGGUUAGCUAAACACGGUCGGACAUCGUGUGGUUAGUGCAAUGGCAUAAGCUAGCUUAACUGCGAGACAGACACGUCGAGCAGGUACGAAAGUAGGUCAUAGUGAUCCGGUGGUUCUGUAUGGAAGGGCCAUCGCUCAACGGAUAAAAGGUACUCCGGGGAUAACAGGCUGAUACCGCCCAAGAGUUCAUAUCGACGGCGGUGUUUGGCACCUCGAUGUCGGCUCAUCACAUCCUGGGGCUGAAGUCGGUCCCAAGGGUAUGGCUGUUCGCCAUUUAAAGUGGUACGCGAGCUGGGUUCAGAACGUCGUGAGACAGUUCGGUCCCUAUCUGCCGUGGGCGUUGGAUGAUUGAAGGGAGCUGCUCCUAGUACGAGAGGACCGGAGUGGACGAACCCCUGGUGUUCGGGUUGUAUCGCCAGAUGCAUUGCCCGGUAGCUACGUUCGGAACUGAUAACCGCUGAAAGCAUCUAAGCGGGAAGCAGGCCUUAAGAUGAGUCAUCCCUAGGUCUUUAAGACCUCUGAAGGGCCGUCCGAGACCAGGACGUUGAUAGGCAAGGUGUGUAAGCGUUGUGAGGCGUUGAGCUAACUUGUACUAAUGACCCGUGCGGCUUAACCAU
rnacentral:rRNA from 1 species